CCGGAAGUUUCCAGAAGGCCCAGAAGGUUCCAGAAGGCCUGGAAGGUUCCAGAAGGCCCAGAAGGUUCCAGAAGGCCUGGAAGGUCCCAGCAGGCCCCAGAAGGUUCUGGAAGGCCCGGAAGGUUCUGGAAGGUUCCAGGACCCCCAGAAGGUUCCAGAACCCCCCUGGAAGGUUCUGGAAGGUCCCACAAGGCCCCAGAAGGUUCCAGAAGGCCCCAGAAGGUUCCAGAAUCCCCAGAAGGUUCCAGAAUCCCCAGAAGGUUCCGGAAUCCCCGGAAGGUUCCGGAAGCGGCAGGAUGUGGCACGAGGCGCGCAAGCACGAGCGCAAGCUGCGGGGGAUGAUGGUGGAUUACAAGAAACGCGCCGAGCGGCGCCGCGAGUACUACGAGAAAAUCGUGAGUGAGAACCAGUACGGACCAGUUUGGGCCAGUUUGGGAGGGGUCCUGGACCAGUUUGGGCCAGUUUGGGGGAGCUAGAACUAGUUUGGGCCAGUUCAUACCAGUUUGGGGGGUCCUUGUCCCAGUUUGGGGGUGCCANAAUCCCCAAUUUCCCCCCUUUAAUUCCCAAUUCUAAUCCCAAUUACCCCCCUUAAUUCCCAAUAUUUAUCCCCAAUUUCCCCCUUAAUUAACCCCAAUUCUCCCUUAAUUAAUCCCUAAUUUCCCCUUUGUUCCAAAUUUUUUCCCCUUAAUCCCCAAUUUUUGUUCCCAAUUCCCCCUUAAUCAAUCCCCAAUUCCCUUUGAUCAAUCCCCUAUUUCUCCUUAAUUAAACCCCAAUUUUCCCCCUUAAUCAAUCCCCAAUUUCCCCUUAAUUAAUCCCCAAUUCUGCCCUUAAUCAAUACCCAAUUCCCUUUAAUGAACCCCCAAUGCCUCUUUACUUAAACCUCAAUUUUCCCCUUAAUUAAUCCCCAAUUUCCCCUUAAUUAAACCCCAAUUUCCCCUUAAUUAAUCCCCAUUUCCCCCCCUUUAAUUUCCAAUUUCUAUCCCAAUUUCCCCUUAAUUAAUCCCCAAUUUCCACCUUUAAUCAAUCCCCAAUUUCCCCCUUAAUUAAUCUUCAGUUUCCCCUUAAUUAAUCCUCAAUCCCUCCUUAAUCAAUCGCCAAUGCUCUUUAAUUAACUUCAAUUUCCCCCUUAAUUAAUCCCCAAUUUUGCCCUUAUUUAAUCUCCAAUUCCCCUUAAUUAAUCCCCAAUCCCUCCUUAAUUAAUCCCCAAUUUUUCACUUAAUUAAUCUCUAAUUCCCCCUUAAUUAAUCCCCAAUUCCCCUCCUAAUUAACCCCCAAAUUUCCCCCAUAAUUCUCAAUUUUUAUCCCCAAAUUUCCCCCUUUUUUCCCAAUUUCCGCCUUAACCAAUCCCCAAUAACCCCCUUAAUUAAUCCCUAAUUCCCCCUUAAUUAAUCCCCAAUUUCCCCUUAAUUAAACCCCAAUUUCCCCUUUAAUCAAACCCCAAUUCCCCUUUAAUUAAUCCCCAAUUUCCCCAUUAAU
rnacentral:lncRNA from 1 species